AGGAACCUCAGAGCAACGAGAAAUGCUGGAGCAAGCAUUGCUACCCUUUUCCCGGAUGUUUACGGAAAAACCAGGUUUGACCGAAGUCUUGGAACACGGCAUAGACACCGGCGACGCAAGGCCUUGGAGAUGCAACCCGCGGCCGCUUAGCGUUCAAAAGCGCAAGUUGCUCGAUGCUGCGCUGAACGAAAUGAUCGAGACGGGUGCUGUGAGACCCUAGCGCAGCCCGUGGGCCUUUCCGGUGGUACUCGCUCCGAAGAAAGAUGGAACCGCAAGGUUGUGCGUGGACUACCGCCGGUUGAACGAGGUGACGGAACACCUUUCACACCUGAAAGUGGUGUUGGGACGUAUGCAAGCUGCUGGGUUGACGGUCAAUCCUCGAAAGAUGCAGUUGGCGACUAACCGCAUCGACCUGCUCGGGUUUACAGUGGAGUCCGGCACGGUCAGGCCGAACGAGGACAAGCUGAAGGCUACCCUAGACUACCCUCGCCCGCAGGAGGUAAAGAGCUUGCAGCGCUUCCUUGACAGACGCGA